rnacentral:rRNA from 1 species
CCUACGGGAGGCAGCAGUGGGGAAUAUUGGACAAUGGGCGGAAGCCUGAUCCAGCCAUGCCGCGUGUGUGAAGAAGGCCUUUUGGUUGUAAAGCACUUUAAGCGAGGAGGAGGCUACUAGUAUUAAUACUACUGGAUAGUGGACGUUACUCGCAGAAUAAGCACCGGCUAACUCUGUGCCAGCAGCCGCGGUAAUACAGAGGGUGCGAGCGUUAAUCGGAUUUACUGGGCGUAAAGCGUGCGUAGGCGGCUGAUUAAGUCGGAUGUGAAAUCCCUGAGCUUAACUUAGGAAUUGCAUUCGAUACUGGUCAGCUAGAGUAUGGGAGAGGAUGGUAGAAUUCCAGGUGUAGCGGUGAAAUGCGUAGAGAUCUGGAGGAAUACCGAUGGCGAAGGCAGCCAUCUGGCCUAAUACUGACGCUGAGGUACGAAAGCAUGGGGAGCAAACAGGAUUAGAUACCCUGGUAGUCCAUGCCGUAAACGAUGUCUACUAGCCGUUGGGGUCUUUGAGACUUUAGUGGCGCAGCUACGACGAGUAAGUAGACCGCCGCGGGAGGUACGGUCGCGAAGAACGUAAACGUACGAAAGUAGAAGUUAGGACGGCGNGGAGGACGUUGCCGACGGACGACGACGACGGGGAGGUUAGG